UGUCCCCACGGUCAUUUACGGCAGGAAAAAAAGUGUGCGCAUGCGCCAUUAUUUGUUAUCAAAUUUUCUGCCGCAAGCGAUUCAUAAUGGCCACCAUCGCACGUGCUUCUAAUUUCCCUUAAAAACAAAUGUUUUUUGAGCCUCUGCGGUAGAGAUCAUCCCCUAAAAGGAUUUUAUUUUAGUAGAGCAGGCCUUGGACUAUACAAAAACUCUAGAUUCGACUACCCGAACACUUUAACUUUUGUUGGGAGGAGACAGAAAGAAUAGCAAUGUUUUGAUUAUAAAAUUUUAUAAGUUGGUGGAAAAUGAAGAUAUUUGCUUUCCAACGCAAAGUCAUGCUUUAAGACAUGUUUUUCCUGAAAGCUGAUAGCCUGUUUUAUCAAAUAAAACCAGUGGUUUGUGGCUGCCACUUUUUUUCUGAAAGAAAUUGGUCCUCGGAAAUGACCUUUCACAAGACUUCAUAAAUCGGGCACCAGUCCCAAAUUGUUCUAUGAUACAAAACAUGUUGGCACGAUUUCAUUGAAGUAAUUUUGACCCAAUAAUUCACAAUUUCAAGCGUCAUUCAAACUUGAUUUGCAUGUGAAGAUUUGUUGACAGAAGCGGUUAAAAAAAUGAUGGAACAAUGAUGAAACAGAAGAUCUUGCUGAUUUGCUCGAUUACCACUUUUUGUUGGAUGCGUUUGAAAUAAGAAUAUAUUCGUGAAAUCCAGAUUAUGAAUUGAAAUAAAAAAUACUUGUAAUAGCCUAAUUUGUAAAGUAUUUUUAUAUAAUUCAGAUUGACUUUCGUGGUGAAAAAUCUCACAAUUAGGGAAUGGUCUAGGCUAAAAUGUCUGUGUAAAUGGUUAGCUUUUUCGUUUAACAUAUAUAUAGCUAUAUAACUGUACAAUUUUUUUCAUUUGCAAUCAUUUGCUAGUCUAACAACAACAACAAUAAUGAUAAAUAUUUAAAGUGUUUCUAGCCCAGAAAAUCACAAAAACCUAUUGUUAGUGGAUUAUUUCCAUUGGGGUCCACUGAGUCUGAGUGAAGCUAGCUUUCUUACAUUUACGUUUAGUUUUAGCAGGCUUCUAGAUAGAGAAAACUAAUCAAGACCAACCUUAGAGCUAGCUAAGGUUACAGAUCAGAUGAAUUAUUUUUUUUGUCUUUUAAAAUUUAAUUUUAGUAGUAUAAUAUCGUUUGUUCUUUGUUUAUUAGCGUCUAUUUUACAUUUCUAAUAGUUGUCAACCAUUUUUUUUUUGUGAAAACGAAAGUGAAAUGUAUGGUGUAGAAAAGCUCAAAAUUUUAGUAGUAAAAAAAGUGGCAGCUACUACCUAAUACGAUAGAACGGUCGAUAAGGGAUACAUGCAAACAGGAAAAGUAAUUUUUAGGCAAAACCUUGCGUCAGAAUGUUGUACAAGAGUGCUCCUGUACUGGUAAAUUGUGAACUAGCCAUCCGGGCUUUUGUGGACCUUGCCGUCUGUUUAGGCUGCCCCGGGUAGCAACCAAAGGCGAAAUAGUAGUCUAUGGUCAUCCUUCUUUAGUUUUAAAAGAAAAAAAUGUUAAAUUUUCUUUUAUUGGGCAACUAAAACAAGAUAAUAGAGAGUGAGGUCAAUAUCGAUGACGUCAUAAUCUUAUGCCGUAGGCGCUUUUUAUAAAAAAAAUUUUUGGCGCAUGCGCACACUUUUUUUCCUUAAAAUCGCGGUUUUGAAUGACCGUGUCCCGUGUUAAUUAUGUAAAGAGAAUAAUUGUAAAUUUGGUACUAUUUUUAGUAAAUUUUCUGCACAUCUUGCACAUCUUGUUUCUGUGCAUUCAGUCUUCAACAUGUAAUGACAGAGUCGAACAAACAUUUUUGUAAUAAAUUCGCUGUUGAGUGAAAUUUUUCUUUCAUACAUCACAGGAGUUAUCCUGUAUCUCAGCAUCUGUUGUAUUUGUUUUCUCUCACUUGUAGUUGGCUUGGCUUACGCCACUAUAUUUCUAAACGGACAGCCAAUUACUGAUAUGAAAAAUCGUAAGAAUAAUAUCAAACGAAGAUCCAUACAAUGUGAAUUGAAGAAACUGGUUACAUUACAACGAACGAGUGAAUGAUUAGUUAAAAACAGUCUAAGAAAUGUAUGGAUGCUGAGUCGUUUACGACACAUGUAAAAAAGUGCGCCAAAUAUAAUUUUUUUAAAAAAAUCUGCCGAAUUUAUGUCGUUGAUAGCAAGCAUAAA